rnacentral:rRNA from 1 species
AGAGUUUGAUCCUGGCUCAGGACGAACGCUGGCGGCAUGCCUAAUACAUGCAAGUCGAGCGAACUGACGGAGGAACUUGUUCCUCUUGACGUGAGCGGCGGACGGGUGAGUAACACGUGGGAAACCUACCUUUCAGCGGGGGAUAACGUUCGGAAACGGACGCUAAUACCGCAUAACGUUAACAAUCGCAUGAUUGUUAAAUAAAAGACGGCUCUGCUGUCACCGAAAGAUGGACCCGCGGUGCAUUAGUUAGUUGGUAAGGUAACGGCUUACCAAGACGAUGAUGCAUAGCCGACCUGAGAGGGUGAUCGGCCACACUGGGACUGAGACACGGCCCAGACUCCUACGGGAGGCAGCAGUAGGGAAUCUUCCGCAAUGGACGAAAGUCUGACGGAGCAAUGCCGCGUGUAUGAAGAAGGUCUCCGGAUCGUAAAGUACUGUUAUCAGCCAAGAACAAUUCACAGAGUAACUGUUGUGGAUCUGACGGUAACUGAUCAGAAAGCCACGGCUAACUACGUGCCAGCAGCCGCGGUAAUACGUAGGUGGCAAGCGUUGUCCGGAUUUAUUGGGCGUAAAGGGAGCGCAGGCGGUGACUUAAGUCUGAUGUGAAAGCCCACGGCUCAACCGUGGAAGGUCAUUGGAAACUGGGUCACUUGAAUGGAGCAGAGGAGAACGGAAUUCCAUGUGUAGCAGUGAAAUGCGUAGAUAUAUGGAGGAACACCAGUGGCGAAGGCGGUUCUCUGGGCUCACAUUGACGCUGAGGCUCGAAAGCGUGGGGAGCGAAACAGGAUUAGAUACCCUGGUAGUCC